rnacentral:rRNA from 1 species
GACAUGCAAGUCGAACGAGACGGCCCAAUGAAGACUGAGUGCUUGCACAAAGUUGGAUUUGGUUCCCCGUCUAGUGGCGCAAGGGUGAGUAACACGUGGGUAAUCUGCCUUCGAGUCUGGAAUAACAGUUAGAAAUGAUUGCUAAUGCCGGAUUAUAUAUAAGAAGAUAUACUACUUAUAUUAAAAGGAGCCUUUAAAGCUUCGCUUGAAGAUGAGCCUGCGGCGUAUUAGCUAGUUGGUGAGGUAACGGCUCACCAAGGCGACGAUCAGUAGCCGGCCUGAGAGGGUGAACGGCCACAUUGGGACUGAGACACGGCCCAAACUCCUACGGGAGGCAGCAGUGGGGAAUCUUCCGCAAUGGGCGAAAGCCUGACGGAGCAAUGCCGCGUGAGUGAAGAAGGCCUUCGGGUUGUAAAACUCUGUCCUUAUUGAAGAGAGGUAGCAGUGUGAAUAAUGCUGUUAUAGGACGGUAAAUAAGGAGGAAGCCCCGGCUAACUACGUG